AUUGAACGCUGGCGGCAUGCCUUACACAUGCAAGUCGAACGGCAGCGGACCUUCGGGUGCCGGCGAGUGGCGAACGGGUGAGUAAUGCAUCGGAACGUACCUUUCAGUGGGGGAUAACGUAGCGAAAGUUACGCUAAUACCGCAUAUUCUGUGAGCAGGAAAGCAGGGGAUCGCAAGACCUUGCGCUGAUUGAGCGGCCGAUGUCAGAUUAGCUAGUUGGUGAGGUAAAGGCCCACCAAGGCGACGAUCUGUAGCGGGUCUGAGAGGAUGAUCCGCCACACUGGAACUGAGACACGGUCCAGACUCCUACGGGAGGCAGCAGUGGGGGAUUUUGGACAAUGGGGGCAACCCUGAUCCAGCCAUGCCGCGUGAGUGAAGAAGGCCUUCGGGUUGUAAAGCUCUUUCGGCCGGGAAGAAAUCGCACGGGCUAAUACCCUGUGUGGAUGACGGUACCGGAAUAAGAAGCACCGGCUAACUACGUGCCAGCAGCCGCCGUAACAC
rnacentral:rRNA from 1 species